ACACAUCACAACAUGUCUUAUAAUUGAAGUCAAACUCUACGUAGUUUUCUCUCUGCAAUGUUCCAUCUGUCAAACAGCUAAGAGCCCGUUGGUUCACAUACAUGACACGAGUAACACGGACUAGAAGCUUCCUGUCAAAGGGAAAACAAAACAGUGGCUUCAGUCGCACAAAGGAUCCGUCCUUCAUCUCAACCGCUCAGGAAUGUCUUCACAGCCUCCUGCUCAGCCGGCCGCACCGCGGCACACGGAGCCCCGAAGGCCGGCGAGGCCACACGCUGCAAACGGUUACGUGUCACAAAACAGACACUGACCCGCUGAAGUCAAUCAACUUCACAGGGGAACCGAAUGGAGGAGACUGUAAUCUUUGAGAUAAGAAAAUGAGUCACAUAUUUGACUUUUACAGCAUCUUUUAUCCGGACAGUUUCCACUCACACAAACACACACGUUGUGUGUCUGUCAGGGCUGCAAAUCCUGCGUACACAACCCCUGCUGUUUGUUUAUCUCCACUGAGGCUCACCAGAUGUGUGGAGAUGCAGCGGAUAACUCGGGUCAUGUAGUCACGAGUUACCGUUUACUUUGCAACAACAUCGAAACCACAAAUUCCUCCUCUGGAUUUUGCUGCUCUGGACUUCUCUCCUUCUCUUCCCACAACUCAUGAAAACCUUGUUCCUGUGAUGCUACGUUGGUCAAAAUAUCCAACACAUGAGGAGGAAGGAGCUCCUCCACCCCCUCGUGAGUCACGGAGGGCCUUCAAACCCUCCGCCUGCACGCACCUCGCGUCCGCCCGUCGGCCCCC
ensembl:lncRNA